GUUAUUAUAAUCUGCUUUGCCAAACUCUCUUGUUUAUUUCAUAAUUAUAACAUCUUUAUAUUCAUUGAUUAUACAACUCUUCAGCAAGGUCUGUUGGGAUAGGGCAAGGGGAAAUGGUUUCAAACUAAAAGAGAGGAGAUUUUAGGUUGGAUAUAAGGACUAAGGUUGAUGAAACAUUGGUACAGGUUGUCGAGAGAUGUGGGUGUCCCAUCCCUGGGUCAGGCUGGGCAGGACCCUGAGGACCUGAUGGAGCUGUGGGUGUCCCUGUUCAUUGCAGGGGAGUUGGACCAGAUGGCCUUUAGGUCCCUUGCAACUGAGAAGAUUCUGUGUUCAGACCCUGCUUUGCAUGGCUGCUACAGAGACUUUGCUUGAGUGCCAGUGCGGGGAUUGGGGCAGAUGCUCUGCUUUCUGUGUGGAAACAUGGAAGUUCUGCUAGAGGUCUUUCUCUGGUACAAGGAAUUUCUCAUCGAUUGCCUAACCCCAUGAAUCACACCCCAGGCAGAGGCACGAUGGUUGUACUUGAUAAUGUUAGAGGUCUUUGCCAGCUUUAAUGAUUCUCUGAUGCAGGAGCACAGGGGUGUUCUGAGAACCUGGCUUUGUUGAGGCAUGUUGGUGUAAUUGUGCCAUUGUAAAUGGAGUUUGAAAAUCAUAGUCAAGUUUUAUUCAGAAAGCUCCCUUUGUAGCUUGGCAGAAAUGCCCCCUCCCCCCCACUUUGGAAGUGGUGAACCCUGGAAAUGUAGAUCCUCAGCACGGAGCCAGUGGUUGUUCUGCUGGGGUGUCCUUGCUUUUUCCAGUCAGAAAGAGAUGAGAGGAGGGUCUGGCAGAGAUGGUAUCUGAGUAAUGUUCAGCAAUUUCCUGAACAACACCUUACAUGCAGCUCAGACAGAAUGUUAUGUGUUUGAAGACAUUUUUCUAAUCAUUUGUGUACGUUUUUUUUAGAGGGUUUAUUAUCCUCAGUAAGCCUCGGAUAAAAUCCUUGUGUAACCUAUUAAUCUAGGAUUGCCAUCUGCAAGUACAUGUGUGCUUGUGUGUAUGCAUCACUGUGUAUGCACACAGAUGGAUGGAGGGCCCAGCUCUGUUAAUCAGGAAUCUGUCUCUUUAAUGACUGGAAGGGAAUCAUACAUGUCUGACUUUUAAGAGAUAAAGGCGUGAUGAGAUAGCAAGGCUGGGGCUUGGUCUUUGUGCAAAUUGCAAAGGGAUUCAGAGUUACUGCUCCAGUGUAUAGGUGGAUGGGCAGAUAAUUAGACAGAAUAGAAAAGUAGGCAGAUUAAAUGUGGACUGGGAUGAAUACAUUAAAUGGCUGUAGAAGGAGCACUGUUGUUAAAUGGAAAUGCUUCGCUAUUGUUCAAACUUCAGUUACCUUCCUGGUUUUGAAACAACAAUCUGCUCUUGCUGCAAGCAGUGUGAGAGUGCAAAUACCAGACACAGCUGUGUGUUGGGGGAGGUUCAAAGCAAUCACCUUGUUUCAAGUAUGUGUGGCCAGCCUGGUGCACCUGGGUGUGCAGUCAGUCUGUUGAAGAAGGACCUGUUGCUACUGAGCACAGCCCGGUGCCAUCUACUCUGCCCACCCUGGAGAACAUUGAAGCCCCUUCUGCUCUGAGGGAUCACAGAGUUGGGAAGGACCCAUGAGGGUCACUGAGUCCAACCUCUGGCUCCGCACAGCACCACCCAAACCCUGUGUCUGAGAGCAGCGCCUAGUGCUGUGCUCAGUGCCCUGAGGAGCAGAACCUCCACCUCUCAGCGGCGGUCUUUGGAGUCCCCAGAGGUCAAGGUGCCAGGUGUGUGCUGUUGGCAUGCUGGUGGCAGUAGGAUGGCCGCAGGUCCCACGGUGGUGGAUUUGCAGAGAGCUGCCUCUUCACUGGAGUGCAAUGGACUCUGCAGGCCGAGGGGCUGCUCUGCUUUAUGGGAGAGGCUCUGUGCAGCUGUGGAGGCGGGAGGGGAAGCGUGUUCGUUUGGAUGCCGGCUGUGUCACUGUAAUAAAAGUGAUUGAAUUUGGUCUGGUUUUCUUAUCAGGAGAUUUGGGAACAGUCUCCACAUAUCCCUUUCCCAGUGGAUGAACUUGUUGAGAUGAUAAGACAAUUUUCGCAGCACCUGCUUGGCAAAUAACGCUUGUGUCUUGAUCUGCCAGAAGAGGAGCUGCUGAAGGACUGUGGGCUGUCAGCACUGCUGCAGUCAGCAUUACUGGACUGCUGCAGCUUCUGUAAGCCUGACUCUUGUAAUGGAAGCGUGGUCACUGACCAUGAUGGUGGAGGAGCUGUGUCCUACUUCCUCUUCCUUGACUAUUCCCCUCACUGCAGACAUGGGAACCUCUGGCAGUAAUGAGGGAAACCUCCAUCUGCCUCAUCCACAUGCCUCCACUAUGACCUUCAGCUUUGAGAAAGUAAGUGUGAUUCUUCCCUGAAAAAUACUGGCCUGGUCUGGUGGGAGGUGUCCCUGCCCAUAGCAGGGGCUGGAAAUGGGCCACCCUAAAGGUCCCUUCCACUCCAAACCAUUCUAUGAUGAUACCCGAACUGAUGGUACGCGUAUGCUGUGUCGCUGCAGCUAUUUUGCUAAAUGCUCUCCAAAUGAGGUUGUUUCUUUCCAACUGCAUAUUUGGCUUGUAACAGUGGUCUGCUUUUAGAAAGAACUCACACACAGCAAAGGAAGAGCAACCUGGUACCUGUCUGUAUAUGCCAGCAAAAAGGGUUUUGCAGGUGCUGCAUUACACAGAGCAACUGCUUCAUUCAUUGCCUGCUCCUAACAACAAACAGCAGUCAGCAUUUCAGACAAUCUUCCUUUAAUACAAAGUCAAUAUAUCUACAUACACUGUGGUAUGAAAACCACUUAAUGUUUCAGUUUGAAAUAACAGUGUGAA